rnacentral:rRNA from 1 species
UGGGGAAUAUUGCACAAUGGGCGCAAGCCUGAUGCAGCCAUGCCGCGUGUAUGAAGAAGGCCUUCGGGUUGUAAAGUACUUUCAGCGAGGAGGAAGGCGUUGUGGUUAAUAACCGCAGCGAUUGACGUUACCCGCAGAAGAAGCACCGGCUAACUCCGUGCCAGCAGCCGCGGUAAUACGGAGGGUGCAAGCGUUAAUCGGAAUUACUGGGCGUAAAGCGCACGCAGGCGGUCUGUCAAGUCGGAUGUGAAAUCCCCGGGCUCAACCUGGGAACUGCAUCCGAAACUGGCAGGCUAGAGUCUUGUAGAGGGGGGUAGAAUUCCAGGUGUAGCGGUGAAAUGCGUAGAGAUCUGGAGGAAUACCGGUGGCGAAGGCGGCCCCCUGGACAAAGACUGACGCUCAGGUGCGAAAGCGUGGGGAGCAAACA